CACUCUAGAGAAGUCAUGAAAUUAAAUGUACGUGGGAUGUUUCAGAUGACUCUGCGACAUCUUCGGAGAUGUGCUACAAAGGCGAAGAGAUAACUAAUCAUUGCUUAAAAUGUUUAUGCUCAGAAAAUAGUGUCUACAAAUGCACUUCCACUGGAAUUCCUUGCUCUAAACAUAUGGGUAUAAAGCAUUCCAAAAAGUUUGAAUGUAAACCUCAGAUGGUAUACAUCUACAAAGAGACAUCCUGCAUGUGCCUUAAGAACGGUCGUUGGCCCCAUAAGCGCUGCCGAAACGUGUUCAACGCCAUGCCUUCUAAGCAGUCUUGCAUACCAAACAGCUACAUCAUCGAGGAUUGCAACGUUUGUCGUUGUGGCCCAACAGGAAUGAUUAACAGGAAACACUGCACGCAAAAUGUCUGCUCCGAGGUAAUAAAUCGAAGGUCCAGUAUACUCAAUAAAGUCCAAGGUAGUUGCGAACCAAGUAAUUGGUAUUCAUUAGCCCCUUGUCAGUUUUGCUACUGUGUCAAUGAGAAUAAACUAGUAUGUAGUACAAGAAAUAAUAAAUUAAACACAAUGCUUGAAUUGAGAGCAUAUAAUUUAACUGUAUGCGGUAAACAAAUGAUCAACGAAAUUAUCGAACUCGUCCCAAAAGUUCAGAGGUCCCUACUUAGAGGCGGUAAUAAUUCACCAACUGUAAAGGUAACGACCGAACUGACGAUGAGACAAAAUGAAAAUAAUAUUCAUACGACUUACGGAUACGGUGCUUCGAAAACUGUGUUACCAAGACCUGGCAGACUACAUGCUACUCAUAAAAAAUCACAAGGAGUGGAAAUCGAUGACAAUGAACCAGACAACCGAGGAGAAAGAGAGUAUGUAAAUAAUGUAAGCCAAAUUGUCAAGGACACUGACAGUGGUAGUGGCAGUAAAGUUGAUAAUCCUAUUGCUCGUACUAAUAAGUUUACUAGGAAACCACCUAAACGACAACUAUCUGUUACUACAACCAUUCUUUAUAAAGAAAAUGAAACAAGCGAAGACUCCACAGUCGUGAGUGACAAACCUAAUAUAGCCGAAGAAACCACACCUGUAACAAUAAUCAAAAAAGCACAUAUAAAAAUCCCACUAGCAGCAAACAUAAUAUUUGAUAACGUUGUAGAUACACAAGAAGCAAAACCAGAUUUGAUGAAUGCUGCAUCAGAAAAUGAAAAAGAUUAUACAUAUAAAAUAAAUAUCCCGGCCGUGUUGGAUAGAUUUUUGUCAAUGUCAAUGAAGAGAAGAUCUAUGGUAAAAUUGAAUGCACAGUCAAAUUGUGUGCCUGGUGAAACCUCAAAAGAGGGUUGCAACAAUUGUUUCUGUUUGGCGAACGGAAAAUUGCUUUGUGCCUAUAAUUCUUGCAAUGGAACCACUUCUGAACCUAGAAAUAGAAAUAGAAUUAACCUUAAUAAAACUAAAUUAUAGUUUUCGAUUGUUCUGAAAUACGCAAUUCUUAAAUACAUCUUGACCAAUUUGAUAUCUGCAUUACUGUUACUUUCAAUAGCAAAUUCACCAAUAAUAAUUACAGGCCCCUUCAAUCUUAGUUCAGUGAUGAAAAUCAUAAACUUGAAUAUAAAUGUUAAUCAACCAUGUGGUAACUUUUCCGUUCAGAAUAAAAUGGCAAAUUAAUUGAAAAACUAUCGUGAAUACAUGCUUUCUUAAAUUUUAUUGUUAUUUCCAUAUGAAAUUAUUUAAGGCCGUGCAAUUUUAAAAUGUUGUUCUUUGUCCUAUUUGUAUGUGUUCUACAUUUAACUAAUGUGUUUACGGAGCACAUGAGUACAGGCAACAUAUGGACGCAAAACUGCCAGGGUAGAGAAAAAAUUUUAAAUGAUUGUAAUUGGUGUACCUGUGAGUAUGGCAGAUUUGUGUGUCAACACCGUCCCUGCAACGAAGUCGAUAUGUUUGGAGCCUUUCAU